rnacentral:misc_RNA from 1 species
GAUGAAGAACGUAGCGAAAUGCGAUAAGUAAUGUGAAUUGCAGAAUUCAGUGAAUCAUCGAAUCUUUGAACGCACAUUGCGCCCUCUGGUAUUCCGGGGGGCAUGCCUGUUCGAGCGUCAUUAUAACCACUCAAGCUCUCGCUUGGUAUUGGGGUUCGCGGUUCCGCGGCCCCUAAAAUCAGUGGCGGUGCCUGUCGGCUCUACGCGUAGUAAUACUCCUCGCGAUUGAGUCCGGUAGGUCUACUUGCCAGCAACCCCCAAUUUUUACAGGUUGACCUCGGAUCAGGUAGGGAUACCCGCUGAACUUAAACAUAUCAAUAAGCGGAGGA